UUGGUUCUUUGUUUCUUUUUUUCUUUUCCUUUUUCGUUUUU
rnacentral:ribozyme from 1 species